rnacentral:rRNA from 1 species
UACGGAGGGGGCUAGCGUUGUUCGGAAUUACUGGGCGUAAAGGGUGCGUAGGCGGUUUGGUAAGUCUUAUGUGAAAUCUACAGGCUCAACUUGUAGUCUGCAUGAGAAACUGCCGGGCUUGAGUAUGGGAGAGGUGAGUGGAAUUCCUGGUGUAGCGGUGAAAUGCGUAGAUAUCAGGAGGAACACCUGUGGCGAAAGCGGCUCACUGGACCAUAACUGACGCUGAUGCACGAAAGCUAGGGGAGCAAACAGG